GACGAACGCUGGCGGCGUGCUUAACACAUGCAAGUCGAACGGAAAGGCCCUGCUUUUGUGGGGUGCUCGAGUGGCGAACGGGUGAGUAACACGUGAGUAACCUGCCCUUGACUUUGGGAUAACUUCAGGAAACUGGGGCUAAUAUCGGAUAGGAGCUCCUGCUGCAUGGUGGGGGUUGGAAAGUUUCGGCGGUUGGGGAUGGACUCGCGGCUUAUCAGCCUGUUGGUGGGGUAGUGGCUUACCAAGGCUUUGACGGGUAGCCGGCCUGAGAGGGUGACCGGCCACAUUGGGACUGAGAUACGGCCCAGACUCCUACGGGAGGCAGCGGUGGGGAGUAUUGCACAAUAGGCGGAAGCCUGAUGCAACAACGCCGCGUGCGGGAUGACGGCCUUCGGGUUGUAAACCGCUUUCGCCUGUGACGAAGCGUUAGUGACGGUAAUGGGUAAGGAAGCACCGGCUAACUACGUG
rnacentral:rRNA from 1 species